AUUUGAUGCUCACCUCACCCAUAUGUAUAUUAGAAUUAGAAUAAUACAGAUAAGAUUAGAAUGGCCUCUAUUCAAGGAUGGCACACAAAUUCAUGGUGUUCCAUGGGGUUUU